UCUGCAUUGCAUAAAUGACAUUCCGAAUGACCUUAAAUCACUACCAAACCAAAAAAAGUGUACAACAUAAGUGAGGAAGAGCAACAAAUGCCAAAAAGCAAUCUUCAAUAGAAUCACCAUCUAACUGACUGACUAACGAACUAAUUUGCAAGUGGGCAUGUCAACAACAUGGAUAAGUGCCAUAAAAAAUCAAAUUAACAAAAUGGGAUUCCUCUAAAACAAGCAAAAUUGAAAAGGCUUUUGUAAAAUUUGCAAAAGAACAAAUUUGUAAAAUUACCAAAUUGAUUUGACCCAUCAAAAACUGCACUGACAACAUUUUCGUUAACCAAACUCAUCGAGGUCAUGUAGCUGCAAAACAAGUCGUUCUCGAGGUCAACUGAACUCAUCGAAUUAUCGAUCUGAAAUGAGAUGCAUACUGUCUGGAAUCCGAUAUUGCACCUCGAAUUACGAUGAAUGGUUGGACGGUGCUAGCAGAUUUGGGUUCGGAUCUGGCGGAUUUCGGCUUUGCAUGUUCGGAGAAUUGAGAGAGAGAGAGAUUCGGCAUUAUAGAAUGACGAAUAUGGACUGUUUUAAUUUUUCAUUUUGUCUUUCUCAUCAUAGAUUUCUAUGGUGCCGUUGAGAUUUGAGAGUGAGCCUUUUUUACCGCUUUCACUUAAAAAAGAAAAUGAAUAUUACAUGGAAACGAUUUAGUUUUAAUAAAUUUUAAAUUUUAUAAUUUUUUGUUGUUGUUUAUAUCUUAAUUAUAUAACAUUAUUAUUUUAAAAUAAGUCAAGGAUAAAAUUGAUAUAUAUAUAUAUAUAUAUAUAUAUAUAUAUAUAUAUAUAUAUAUAUAUAUUUUGUUGGGUUCGGAUUUAUCAUUUUUAGUUAAAUUUUAAAUUUAUGAUUUUAUACCCAAUUUCUCAUUCAGGAAAGGAACAUGGCCAAUUUUUAUAAACUAAUUUAAAGAAAAAUUAUAGAUUUACGAUUUUAUUAAUAUAUUAAUAUAUAUUAUAAUUAAUAAUAAUAAUAAUUUUUGAAUAAAUAAUCACUGUAAUUAAAAUAUAAAAUAAUUAUUAUGAUAAUAAUUCAUUGAGUACUUUUUAGUAAUUUGUUACAAUCUAACUCAUUUCAAAAUCAAUUCCAAGGUAAAAUAAACACAUCAAUGAGAUUCCAGUCCAUUCCGAUUUCAAUUCUCGUAAGUCAAGUAAACAAUUUAUUCUGAUUCUCAUUCCUCAUUCCGAUUGAUGGCAAAUACACGCAUAUACAUACAUACAUAUACAUACAUACAUAUAUAUAUAUAGAUGAGUUUAUAUGUAUAUAGAAGAGUUUAUAUGAUAAAUUAAUACAAAUAAAAAUCAAGAUGCAAACAUAUGUACAUGCAAGGAAGACUCGGCUCAACUUUUAGUUUAAUUGACUUGACCUAAAUUUUCUGGCCUUUGACUCGAAUUUAAUGGUUAGGCUCGGGCCUAAAUAUUAGAGCCCGAUUAAAUUCAGAUCAGGGUUCGGGACCUAUAUGCCCGACCCGACCCAACCCGACCUGAUCCUAAAACUUAAAAAAAUUGUUAUAUAUAUAUUAAGUUUAUUAUUUAUGUAAUAAUACGGUUAUGACCUUGAGUAAUUUUUAUUUGUAUGUUACUUCAAACAAUUUCUGAAGCUUUUAUAUUGUAAUGUAUAUGGGGAUGCUACGCCCAAUUUUUAAAUUUUAAAUUAACUAAAAAUUAAAAAAAAUAAAAGAAAGUGUGAUCAGGCCUAGGCUUUCAAAUAAUCGGGCUUUUUUAUGCUUGAAAUUUUUAUUUCAGUUAUAGAGUCAGGCUCAGAAAUGGCUAAGCGCGGGCCCGACUGGACCCACUGCCAUCCUUACGAAUAUACUAUUGAUCCAUUACGAGUUCAUCAGUUAAAUUCAUAAUCACUGUAAAUGUGUUACUAUGGCUAAGCACGGGCCCGACUCGACCCACUGCCAUCCUUGUGAAUAUACUAUUGAUCCAUUACGGGCUCAGUAGUUAAAUUCAUAAUCAUUGUAAAUGUGUUACUAUCAUUCAAAUCUCAUACAAUCUAAAAUUAUAAAUAUACAAAAAUGGUUUCAAUGACUUCCAAAAGAUUGCCAAUAGUCUAACUCUCUAAUUUAUUUCGCAUAGGAUAUGGGUCGGGUCAACUAAGCUAGAUUAAUGUUGAAAAAAAGAAGCGAAUUAAUAUUGGAGUGGUCAAUUGGUCUUCAGAAUUGUAAGAAUUACAAAAUUUUGAAAAAUGACAUAAAACUCAUAAAUUAACAUUAACUGUAAAUUAAACAAACAAACUGUAAUCCACACAUAAGAUAGCUUGACAGAAAAUUAAGUAAAUUAAUGUUAGAUUUGAAAAUUGGUCUCAGAAUUAGAAGAAAUAAAAAAAAUUGAACAAAACAACAUAAAGCUCGUAAAAUCACAUUAAGUAUGAAAUGAAACUAAAAAAUUAUAAAUCAUGCAUAGGAUUAAAAGCAUGAUAUAAAACUCGUAAAUUGACAUUAAGUGUGAAAUAAAACAAAAAAUUUGUAAAUCAUACAUAAAACUAGUAAAUUAAUGGAAAAACAGGUAAAUUAAUGUUGGAGUUGUAAAUUGCAAGAAGAACUUGUAAACAAAAAAAAACUUUAAAAAAUGACAUAAAACUUGUAAAUUGACAUUAAUUGUGAAAUAAAACAAAAUAUUUGUAAACCACACAUAAAACUAGUAAAUUGAUGGAAAAAUUGGUAAAUUAAUGUUGGAGUUGUAAAUUGCAAGAAAAACUUGUAAACAAAACAAAAACUUAGAAAAAUGACAUAAAACUUGUAAAUUGACAUUAAGUGUGAAAUGAAAUAAAAAGUUUGUAAACCAUACAUAAAACUAGUAAAUUGAUGGAAAAUUUGAUAAAUUAAUAUUGGAGUUGUAAAUUGCAAUUAGAAUUUAUAAACAAAACAAAAACUUAGAAAAAUGACAUAGAACUUGUAAAUUGACAUUAAGUGUGAAAUGAAACAAAAAUUUUGUAAACGACACAUAAAACUAGUAAAUAUUGUUGUUAAUAAUAAUAAUAAUAAUAAUAAUAAUAAUAAUAAUAAUAAUAAUAAUAAUAAUAAUAAUAAUGAUGAUGAUGAUGAUGAUGAUGAUGAUGAUGAUGAUGAUGAUGAUGAUGAUGAUGAUGAUGAUGAAAAUACGUGAUAGAGUAAAUAUUUAUCACCAAUAGGCCAUUAGUUAUUGAUAUAUAAAAAGUAUAUCAUAAGUACAUAAUAAUUUUUUUAUAGAUAAAAAAUUUAUCACAAAUUUGUCAUGCUUUUAUAAUUUAAGACCUUUUACUCAUGAUUUGUCACAAAACUCUUGUCAUCUAUUAUCAAUUUUCUCAUGAUGUCAUAACUUUCAAGGACAGUCAUGGCUGAGCUAGCAAGAUAUAGAAUAGAUUUAGUUAAUUAUUGGUUACAUUUGGCUUUUCUUGUAUUGUAUGCGUUUAUGUUUGUUUGGACAACUUUCUUUGUUUCUAAUUAUGGGAGGAUAAGGUUUAUUAUAUUCCUCAUAGGUCAUAACUGGCUAUUUGUUUUAUCUUUUACUUCAAGAAAUUUCCCUCAUUUUGUCGAGGUUUGCUUCAAAAAUUUUUACACUAUGAUCAUUAGAGUAAUCGGUGUCUUAGGGGCAAGUAUAUAAUUAAAGAGACACGAAAUUUAUCAUGGGCUGGUUCUACUUACAAACAUCAAAUAGAAAGUUAAUUAAAUGGUUAUUAUUUCUCUAACUCUAAACAUCAUAUUAAUUAGAAAUAACUUAACUUAAUAUUAUGCAUCAUCAAUUACAUAAUAAAAAAUGCUCCUGACUUAUUCCACUGCUAAGAAGAUAUAAAAAAUUGUUUUGCACCGUAUCUUCAAAUUCAAAGUAUUUAUUAUUGCUGGAGUUGGUAAAUCUUUAAAUGAGUAAAAUUAUUAAAACAAGGGAAAAUAACAUAGUGACCCCCAACAUUUAGACAAGAGACACAAAAUCCCUUAAUAUUUUAAAAAAGACAUCCAGAUACCCAUUUAUUAAUGGAAACUGAUUUUUAACAGAAAUUAUAAUUUUUAACGUGUAAUUACCAUUAUACCCUUCUAGCACAUUAAAAAAUAAUUGUUCAUUGUCCGAUUUAUCCUUAUAUUAUUAAUAAAAUUACAAAUAUGCCUUCAUUGCUCAAUUUCUCUAUUUAAUUUUUUGUCAAAUUUUCUCUUCAAGCCAAAUAAAUUUAAUCCACUGCUCAAGAAUAAAAAUAAAUAAAAUUGGUUAUUAAUGCCAUAAAAAUAACAAUUCUUCAUAUGUCAAUCAUUUAAACUUGUAUAAUCAACAAAAAAAAAAUAGUUACAACAAUAAUUACAAAAUCUUAAUUGUAUUAAAUAACAUAUCGAAUAGACAUAAAAAUCACCAAUCCAGUAAACAUAACAAAAAAUCCUUAUAUCAUAAUAUUGUAUCAAAUUGGUACUGGUAAACAUUACAACAAUAACCAUAAUAUUUUUUUAAAAAAAAACAUAAUAUGUUCACAAAUUUGUAUGACAACUCUAACUCCUAGCUUGUGAGCUUCCUCUCAUAGCUUGUGUGGUUGUUGCUGCUCGAUUAGUGUAUAAAUAUUAGUAUAUAAAUUUUAUUUUUAUAUAAAAACCUAAAGAAAAAAAAAUUCACAUGCUCCAAGACCAUUAAAAAACAAAUGCAUAAUAUCUCACCUAGGUAGAAUUCUAACCCAACUAAUUAGAUAUAACAAAAUAAAAUUGAUUCAUUUAUUCCAUGGACAUCUAAAAAUUGAUAAAAAAGAAAUAACAAAAGUAAUUAGCAAGAAAUCUCCCAUAAGCUGGACAAAUUAAGAACUAUGUUCAUCAAACAACCAUAAACCAAAAAAAAAAAUUCUCGUAAUCCUUUAUUUAUAUUCUCGCACAUACAUCACAUAUGCAUCAAACAGGCUAGAAAUAUUUUAUACCACUUUAAAUCUAUUAGAAUUUUUUUCUCAAAUCUCAAAAGCAUAAAUUUUGAAUGAUAAUAAAAAGAAAUAAAGUUAAUUUCGUUAAAAAAAUGAAAAUUAUAGAGAGAAAAAUUAGUUUUAAGAGAAUUGAACCCUGGAUUCCACAAGCAAGAGCAGCAACCAAACGCGGCUUCCUCGAUCGCACGAGCAGCAACCAAACGCGGCUUCCUCGAUCGCACGAGCAGCAGCCAAACGCGAGCAGUUCCAGCAGCCAGACGCGGUCUCGAUCGAUGCACGAGCAGAAGUUCCAGCAGCUUCCUCGAUCGCGAGCAGUUCCGGCAACCAGACGCGGUCUCGAUCGACGCACGAGCAGAAGUUCCAGCAGCUUCCUCGAUCGCGAGCAGUUCCAGCAGCUUCCGGCAGCGCGAGCAGUUCCAGCACCUUUCGGCAGCGCGAGCAGUUCCGGCAACUUCCGGCAGCGUGAGCAGUUUCCGGCAAACCGUGUGAGUGUGUGUCUGUUAAAGGAUUUGUCUAAGAUCUGGGAGCAGUGUGUAUGUGUGGCUUGUUCGUGUGUGUUAAGGGUAUGUGUGUGUUUUGUUCGUGUGUGUUAAGUGUGCGUGUGUUCUGUUUGUGCGUCUUAAGUGUGCGUGGGUUUUUGGUCAAUUCAUUUGCUAUUAAUCUGCAAUUACGAUAUUAAUCUUUUAAUGAUUUAACGAAACGAUUUUCAUUAAUAAAUAAGAGUUUAAAUAUUUUUUUUAAAUAUUAAAGAUUUUAUGUUUCUUGUCUAAACGUCGAGGGUAUUGUGUCAUUUUCCCUUAAAAGUUAAAACAAUAACAAUGAUAUGGUAAAGAAGAAUGGUAAGCGCGAGCCGCUGAAUUCGAGCCAUUUGGAAGGAAAAAUUUUCAGGUAAAAAACAAUGGUCGACCGGAGUUGGUAAAUCAAAUCGUGUUGCUUUUUCCCAUUGGUUUUUCAAGAAUUUUCGGC
rnacentral:lncRNA from 1 species